CCAUCCAGAGAUGAACUGGAUUGCCCCUUUUUCCUUCCACCUGAUAAUGCUUCAUGCAGCAAUUUGUCUAUCAUCAUUGUUAAUAGACAAUAUUUGCUAAUUAAAGCUCCUUUACCUUUUUUGUACCCUGCAGUGAAGGAGGUUUUUUUAAGGCACAUCUAAUAUUCCCUCGAGAAUAUCCUCUUCGGCCACCUAAAAUGAAGUUCAUCACAGAUAUUUGGCAUCCAAACAUUGAGAAGAAUGGAGAUGUGUGUAUCUCAAUUCUUCAUGAACCAGGGGAUGACAAGUGGGGUUAUGAAAAAGCCUCGGAACGCUGGCUUCCUGUGCAUACAGUAGAGACGAUCCUUAUCUCGGUCAUCAGUAUGCUUGCAGAUCCUAAUGAUGAAAGUCCAGCAAAUGUCGAUGCAGCG